GGCUAAGUUACUAAGGGCGUACGAUGGAUGCCUUGGUGCCAAAGGCCGAAGAAGGGCGCGGUUGACUGCGAAAAGCUGCGGGGAGUCGUCAGCAGAUUUUGAUCCGCAGGUGCCCGAAUGGGGAAACCCGGCGAGGGUGAUGCCUCGUCAACGCAUGCUGAAUUCAUAAGCAUGUGGAGGGAACCGCCCGAACUGAAUCAUCUUAGUAGGGCGAGGAAAAGAGAUUAUUCCCUGAGUAGUGGCGAGCGAAAGGGGAACAGCCCAAACUCACGCUGUGUGAUAGGUUGCAGCCGUUGCAGCGUGAGGGUUGGAGGCCGCAACAGAGCCCCCUGCAAGGGGUUCGGAGAGUUGGAGAAAAGCUGUGGUUAGUGGAAGGCCCUGGAACGGCCCGCCACAGAGGGUGAUAGCCCCGUACACGAAAACCACGGCUCUCUCGUUGCUGUGCCUGAGUACCACGGGACACGUGUAACCCUGUGGGAAGCUGGGGAGCCCACUUCCCAAGGCUAAACACCUUUGGCGACCGAUAGUGAACGAGUACCGUGAGGGAAAGGUGAAAAGAACCCCGGGAGGGGAGUGAAAUAGAACCUGAAAUCGUACGCUUACAAGCAGUCAGAGGGCUAUGCCGUCUUGCUGGGACACCGUUCCUGCGCAAGGCAUGUUCUUCGGAACGUGCGGCGCGCGGGGACGCUAAGCCCGCAUUAUAAGACGGAAUGCCUGAUGGCGUGCCUUUUGGAGAAUGAGCCGACGAGUUACUAUGCGUGGCAAGGCUAAGGUCGGAGGGCCGGAGCCGUAGCGAAAGCGAGUCCGAACAGGGCGACUAAGUCGCGUGGAGUAGACCCGAAACUGAGUGAGCUAGCCAUGGCCAGGGUGAAGAGAGAGUAAUAUCUCGUGGAAGCCCGCACCCACCAGAGUUACAAAUCUGGGGGAUGAGCUGUGGCUAGAGGUGAAAUGCCAAUCGAACUCAGAUAUAGCUGGUUCUCCCCGAAAUGCAUUGCGGUGCAGCCUCAGGUUAGAGUGUUGCGGAGGUAGAGCACUGGAUGGGCUAGGGGCCAAAACGGUUACCAAACCCAACCAAACUCCGAAUGCCGUAUACAUGUUACCUGGGAGUGGGACGGUGGGGGAUAAUCUUCAUCGUCAAAAGGGAAACAACCCAGACCCUCAGCUAAGGUCCCUAAAUUCAGACUAAGUGGGAAAGGAUGUCGGAUAGCCCGGACAGCCAGGAGGUUGGCUUGGAAGCAGCCACCCUUUAAAGAGUGCGUAACAGCUCACUGGUCAAGCCGUCUGGCGCCGAAAAUUCAACGGGGCUUAAGUCUGGUACCGAAGCUAGGGCAGUGGCGCUCCUUCGGGAGUUGUCACUGGGUAGGGGAGCGUUCCCUGGGCGGAGAAGCUCGACCGAAAGGACGGGUGGAGCGCAGGGAAGUGCGAAUGUCGGCAUGAGUAGCGUUAGCCGGUGAGAAUCCGGCUCACCGUAAGCCCAAGGUUUCCUCAGGAAGGUUCGUCCUCUGAGGGUUAGUCGGGCCUAAGCCGAG
rnacentral:rRNA from 1 species